rnacentral:rRNA from 1 species
AACGAACGCUGGCGGCAGGCUUAAUACAUGCAAGUCGAGCGGGCACUUCGGGGUCAGCGGCGCACGGGUGCGUAACGCGUGGGAACAUGCCUUUAGGUACGGAACAACCAAGGGAAACUUUGGCUAAUACCGUAUAAUAUCUCUGGAUCAAAGAUUUAUCGCCUAAAGAUUGGCCCGCGUUAGAUUAGGUAGUUGGUGGGGUAAUGGCCUACCAAGCCGACGAUCGAUAGGGGGUCUGAGAGGAUGAUCCCCCACACUGGAACUGAGACACGGUCCAGACUCCUACGGGAGGCAGCAGUACGGAAUAUUGGACAAUGGGCGGAAGCCUGAUCCAGCCAUGCCGCGUGAGUGAUGAAGGCCUUAGGGUUGUAAAGCUCUUUUAGAUGGGAAGAUAAUGACGGUACCAACAGAAUAAGCCCCGGCUAAAUUCGUG